rnacentral:rRNA from 1 species
GGCGAACGGGUGAGUAACACGUGGGUGAUCUGCCCUGCACUCUGGGAUAAGCCUGGGAAACUGGGUCUAAUACCGGAUAGGACCAUGCUUUAGUGUGUGUGGUGGAAAGUUUUUCGGUGUAGGAUGAGCCCGCGGCCUAUCAGCUUGUUGGUGGGGUAAUGGCCUACCAAGGCGGCGACGGGUAGCCGGACUGAGAGGUUGGUCGGCCACAUUGGGACUGAGAUACGGCCCAG